rnacentral:lncRNA from 1 species
GCUCUGCGGGGAUAGUUACUGUAUCACCAUUGGUUGUCGUUCUAGUGGCACGCCUCUUUCCCUGACGUUGCGGAAUGUGAUUGGUUGCGGCAUUCUGUCCAUAGAUGUGGAAAGAGGGAAGGUUCUGGAAGAUAAGGCCGCCAUCUUGUACUGUGAAGAUAACAGUAGGCGCUGUUGAAGCAGGUGAGAGACUGAUCGGCCUUUUAAGAUGGGAGCGAAAUAUAAACACCGCCUUCACUUGGUAUCACAUGCACGGUGUCACUAUGUCUGACACCAGACUAUUAUAUGAACACACAGCGGGAUAAACAUCCGGCUCCAGCUCUCUGUGGGAGUCGCUGUCACCCGGACUAGUCCGUAUUUACCAAUGGGGAGCGUUACCCCCUCACUCUGCACUGCAUCCGGGACAUGGCUCCUAGCCGCGUUAUAACUCACUGCCUUAUAUUAUAAUAUGAUCCUAGCUCUCACUGUUAUAUUAUAAUAUGAUCCUAGCUCUCACUGGCGCGUUAUAACUCACUGCCUUAUAUUAUAAUAUGAUCCUAGCUCUCACUGUUAUAUUAUAAUAUGAUCCUAGCUCUCACUGCUGCGUUAUAACUCACUGUUAUAUUAUAAUAUGAUCCUAGCUCUCACUGCUGCGUUAUAACUCACUGUUAUAUUAUAAUAUGAUCCUAGCUCUCACUGGCUGCUGCCUUAUAUUAUAAUAUGAUCCUAGCUCUCACUGGCUGCGUUAUAACUCACUGCCUUAUAUUAUAAUAUGAUCCUAGCUCUCACUGGCUGCGUUAUAACUCACUGUUAUAUUAUAAUAUGAUCCUAGCUCUCACUAAUAUGAUCCUAGCUCUCACUGACUGCGUUAUAACUCACUGUUAUAUUAUAAUAUGAUCCUAGCUCUCACUGGCUGCGUUAUAACUCACUGUUAUAUUACAAUAUGAUCCUAGCUCUCACUGGCUGCGUUAUAACUCACUGCCUUAUAUUAUAAUAUGAUCCUAGCUCUCACUGGCUGCGUUAUAACUCACUGUUAUAUUAUAAUAUGAUCCUAGCUCUCACUGGCUGCGUUAUAACUCACUGUUAUGUUAUAAUAUGAUCCUAGCUCUCAGCGUUAUAACUCACUGUUAUAUUACAAUAUGAUCCUAGCUCUCACUGCUGCGUUAUAACUCACUGUUAUAUUACAAUAUGAUCCUAGCUCUCACUGCCUUAUAUUAUAAUAUGAUCCUAGCUCUCACUGGCUGCGUUAUAACUCACUGCCUUAUAUUAUAAUAUGAUCCUAGCUCUCACUGGCUGCGUUAUAACUCACUGUUAUAUUAUAAUAUGAUCCUAGCUCUCACUGGCUGCGUUAUAACUCACUGCCUUAUAUUAUAAUAUGAUCCUAGCUCUCACUGGCUGCGUUAUAACUCACUGCCUUAUAUUAUAAUAUGAUCCUAGCUCUCACUGGCUGCGUUAUAACUCACUGCCUUAUAUUAUAAUAUGAUCCUAGCUCUCACUGGCUGCGUUAUAACUCACUGCCUUAUAUUAUAAUAUGAUCCUAGCUCUCACUGGCUGCGUUAUAACUCACUGUUAUAUUAUAAUAUGAUCCCACCUCUCACUGGCUGCGUUAUAACGCACUGUUAUAAUAUGAACCUAGCUCUCACUGGUUGUGUCUGUCAGACUCAGUAAGCAUUAUGGUCCAUGUUUACAUUACUAACCUGCCUUGUGUGAGGAUUUGGGGGAAUUUGUUUUAUAUAUUAUGGAGAGGGUGAAUCUGUAUCCAUUUGUGUUGUGUGUUAACGUAAGGGCACUGUCUGCUAAGGAAGGCCGAUGGUCGUUUGAGAAACCGUUUUGAAACUGCAUAAAUCAGGAAUGCAUUAAAUAAAAAUUGUUGUAUUCGUUUAAUAUUGGUUCCAGUUUUGUGCCCAUGUACUAUUUUCUUAUGUGUUACAUUAUCACUUCGCCUGUUAUCCAGUGGUAACUUUUUAUUUACUUAUUCUCCUUUUCUGUAAUCUGCCAUUAAAGGCUGUCUUUAUGCCACUUUUUAUUCUCCUCUCUUGUACACUUUGAUUUUGUUUUUCUAAUAAUAUUUUUUGCAUUGUUAAACUCAAAAUAAUUACUCAAAUUAAUGUUGUUAGGAAAAUUAUGCCUUCAGAAUUUGAAGAGUUAUGUAGUGGUUCUGGUGCCUAUAAUCAGUCCAUGCAGGCUUUUCAGAGAAAAUGCAGUGUUUACUUUGCUGCCUAGUGACACAUCUGUGGCAGUCACUCAGACAGUCACUGGAGGUGUUAUCUAGUCCACUGUGUUCAGCGCCUCCACACUGCAUGGAGGCACCGAAUGUUCCCCAGAGAGAUGCAUUGAUUCAAUGUACAAUAUCCUCCUGCUUUAUUAUGGGAAUGUAUUGGAUUGGUUGUGAUGAACAAGAUUGAUUACCUCAACCAUGGAUGGGUGGGAGAAGAAUUUAGUAAAAUUACCAAAUUUUACUAACUUCAUGACGUAAAGUCUUGAUUUUAUUAAGGACACGGAGGCGAGUAUUAGGCUUUAU